AGGACGAACGCUGGCGGCGUGCUUAACACAUGCAAGUCGAGCGGAAAGGCCCUUCGGGGUACUCGAGCGGCGAACGGGUGAGUAACACGUGAGUAAUCUGCCCCUAGCUCUGGGAUAGCUCCGGGAAAACCGGGAUUAAUACCAGAUACGACCACUUUAGACAUCUUCUGUGGUGGAAAGAACUUCGGCUAGGGAUGAACUCGCGGCCUAUCAGCUUGUUGGUGAGGUAACGGCUCACCAAGGCGACGACGGGUAGCCGGCCUGAGAGGGCGACCGGCCACACUGGGACUGAGACACGGCCCAGACUCCUACGGGAGGCAGCAGUGGGGAAUAUUGCGCAAUGGGCGAAAGCCUGACGCAGCGACGCCGCGUGGGGAUGAAGGCCUUCGGGUUGUAAACCCUUUCAGCAGGGACGAAGCGAAAGUGACGGUACCUGCAGAAGAAGCGCCGGCUAACUACGUGCCAGCAGCCGC
rnacentral:rRNA from 1 species